AUUAGUCUAAUAUUAAUGGCUACUCUACAUCAUUAGCAGAAAGUAGAACAUGAAGUUGGCAACGUGACUACUUUAAUCGAAUUACAUUCAUGACUACAGUGUUUAUAUUCUAAUCACAUUCUUGUCUUUCAGAGCAAUAUAACUUCUGAUGCCCAUAAAGGCAACUCAACGCUUGCUGUGCCAAAGAGAUGUGAUGCAGAUGCCCCAAAAGAUCAGUGUACUGUCACCCGAACAUACGUAUUCCUCCACAAGUUCUGGUUCUUCAGCGCCGCAUACUACUUUGGUAACUGGGCCUUUCUGGUGGUGUUCUUGAUCGGAUUGAUUGUAUCCUGCUGUAAAGGGAAGAAGUCAGUCAUAGAAGGAGUGGAUGAAGAUUCAGACUUAAGCGAUGACGAACCGUCCGCCUACUCUGCAU
rnacentral:lncRNA from 1 species